CCUACGGGUGGCAGCAGUCGAGAAUAAUUCACAAUGGGGGAAACCCUGAUGGUGCGACGCCGCGUGGGGGAAUGAAGUUCUUCGUAUUGUAAACCCCUGUCAUGUGGGAACAAAUUAAAAAGCUAGUCCCACAAGAGGAAGAGACGGCUAAAUAUGUGCCAGCAACCGCGGUCAUACAGAGGUCGUAAGCGUUAUUCGGAAUCACUGGGCUUAAAGCGUGCGGAGGCUGUUUCGUAAGUCGUGUGUGAAAGGUGCGGGCUCAACCCGCGGAGGGCAACUGAUACUGGGAGUCUAGAGUAGGGGAGAGGGAAGCGGAAUUCUCGGUGUAGCGGUGAAAUGCGUAGAUAUCGAGAAGAACACUCGUGGCGAAGGCAGGGUCCUGGACAUUAACUGACGCUGAGGCACGAAGGCGAGGGGAGCGAAAGGGAUUAGAUACCCGGGUAGUC
rnacentral:rRNA from 1 species